UUUGAGUAAAAUGUUUUGAUUUUUUAAAAAAUAUUGAGAAGCUUAUGAGCUUAUGAGCUUCGACGUAAUUUCGAGAUUGCAAAAAGAUAGAAUGGAG